rnacentral:rRNA from 1 species
CCUACGGUGCGCAGCAGUGAGGAAUAUUGGUCAAUGGUCGGGAGACUGAACCAGCCAAGCCGCGUGAGGGAGGAAGGUACAGAGUAUCGUAAACCUCUUUUGUCAGGGAACAAAGACUGGGACGCGUCCCCGGAUGAGUGUACCUGAAGAAACAGCAUCGGCUAACUCCGUUCCAGCAGCCGCGGUAAUACGGGGGCUGCGAGCGUUAUCCGGAGUUAUUGGGUUUAAAGGGUGCGCAGGCGGUCUGUUAAGUCAGCGGUAAAAGCCCGGGGCCAAACCCCGGCCCGCCGUUGAAACUGGCAGUCUCGAGUUGGAGAGAAGUAUGCGGAAUGCGCGGUGUAGCGGUGAAAUGCAUAGAUAUCGCGCAGAACUCCGAUUGCGAAGACAGCAUGCCGGCUCCACACUGACGCUGAGGCACGAAAGCGUGGGUAUCGAACAGGAUUAGAUACCCUUGUAGUC